GAUCGGGGACACCACUGGAAACGGUGGCUAAUACCGGAUGUGCCGAAAGGUGAAAGAUUUAUUGCCUAGAGAUGAGCUCGCGUCUGAUUAGCUAGUUGGUGUGGUAAGAGCGCACCAAGGCGACGAUCAGUAGCUGGUCUGAGAGGAUGAUCAGCCACACUGGGACUGAGACACGGCCCAGACUCCUACGGGAGGCAGCAGUGGGGAAUUUUCCGCAAUGGGCGAAAGCCUGACGGAGCAAUACCGCGUGAGGGAGGAAGGCUCUUGGGUUGUAAACCUCUUUUCUCAGGGAAUAAGAAAGUGAAGGUACCUGAGGAAUAAGCAUCGGCUAACUCCGUGCCAGCAGCCGCGGUAAUACGGAGGAUGCAAGCGUUAUCCGGAAUGAUUGGGCGUAAAGCGUCCGCAGGUGGCACUGUAAGUCUGCUGUUAAAGAGCAAGGCUCAACCUUGUAAAGGCAGUGGAAACUACAGAGCUAGAGUACGUUCGGGGCAGAGGGAAUUCCUGGUGUAACGGUGAAAUGCGUAGAGAUCAGGAAGAACACCGGUGGCGAAAGC
rnacentral:rRNA from 1 species